CCAGAUAACUAUAAUCAUCCUUCUCAUCAGCAACUGAUCCAUCUCACACCUUUCCUUAUGUAGCAUUAGAACUUGUUAUGAUGCUUCUUUCAAAACAUCCACUUGAAUUCCAGACAAACCCUAUCGUCCUUGUUUGUCGAGGCUUCAAUAUAUAUAGCAACCCUUCUUUGCUAAAGAUACCAAUCAAUAUUGUGUGUACUUACCAACUCAGUUUUCAAACAACCUGUCGAACUAAACCCCGAAGAGUCUCCACUUGAAACCAAUGGAUUCCAUCUGAAUCUGACAUGACUAAACCUCUCAGACAGUGUUAUGCUAAUCCUUGAAGUUCUG
rnacentral:lncRNA from 1 species